AUGCUAAGAGAUUUGGCGUCCAAAGAGUGGAGGAAGAGGAAGGCAAUAGGAAGGAGGGCAGAAAGGAAGAUGGUGUCUCGGGUUGCCUAUCGGUAUGGACCAUCUCCUGUACACUUGGAGCAACUUUGGCUACGUGGCUGGCCUUGUUAUUUCACCACUGGAUAUAUUGGAAUGGGAAGCAACUUACAAGAACAAUUAACUGGAGCAAAGGGAGAAGAUAUUUCUUUGUGCAGAUUCCGUGAGGGCUGUGCAGAAAUGUAUAUGGUCAAAGCCAAGCAGUUCCAUGUACAGCACUGUUGUUUUUUUAAUGUAGUUUCAACAUGAUGUGAUUGUAGCUUUUUAAACUAUGAAAACCCUGAGAGAUUGUACCUUCUAGUUGAAAUAAAGUAUUUAUAAUAGAUUGUGGCUUCAUAGUCUGUUUGCUGCUUCUUAGACCUUUAAGGAACAUUCUUAAUGAACUUUAUAGAAUUCUGAGGACAGGUUUUUGUUUUCUUUCAAGUUUGAAAUUGCUUUAUUACAAGAGGUCUGGGUAUCGCUGUAGCAUUUCAUAUGCUUUCUGAGAGAAAUUGACAGUUCUUGGCCACCGAAGUUGUUUUUCACAUAAUCAAACAAGUUUAUACAUCUUGAUCCUAUUCUUUUUUUAACUAUGUUUCUUUGGAGUUAAAAUGGCUAUGAUAGCCUCAUCAAAAACAGUCUUCAAUACCUUCUGGGUUAAAGCUGAACAUUCCACAUAGCAGCAUGCUCCUAUCUCUUUUGCUAGUUUCUGUUCUUGUUCCACACAUAUAGGCUUUUUUUUCAUAUCAUUCGGUCUCGCUAAAGUUUUGGGGUCAUCUCGGAGAUCAAUCUGAGUUCCUAUUAAUAAAAAGGGUACAUUUGGGGCAUAUUCCUUAAGCUCCGGUACCCACUCUUCUUUCACAUUUUGAAAUGAGGCUGGGUUGACCACGGAGAAGCAUAUGAGGAAAUCAGUCAUUGGAUAGGAUAAAGGCCUCAGACGAUCAUAGUCUUCCAAUGAGGGACCAGACACAGGCUGCUGCGAGGGGGAGACCUGGUCAUCUGCAAAUGUCCUGCCGUGUCACAGAGUCCCGGGAGGUACUGCUUGCCCCCCACAGUGACGCUGACGGCGUAGUGGUCGAAGACGGUGGGCACGUACUCCUCGGGGAAGGCGUCGUUGGCGUAGCUCAUGAGCAGGCACGCCUUGCCCACCGCCCCGUCGCCCACCACCACGCACUUGAGCAUCAGCGCGCCGGGCCCGUGAGCCAUGCUGCGGCCGGCCGGCCUCCGGGCAUGGUCCCCGCGCGCCCCCGCGCCGGCCGGGCUCAGCCCCAGC
rnacentral:lncRNA from 1 species